ACAGGAAGGUCAUGUGUCCGUACUAGAACAUCUACUUAAUGCUGGACACCCAUUGGAAGCGAAAACUUCGUAUGGUAGCACACCAUUACACUUUGCAGCACGGAAAGGUCAUGUUUCAGUAGCAGAAUAUCUACUUAAUUCUGGACAUUCGUUGGACCCAAAGGAUAAUGGUGGUAACACACCAUUACAUGAUGCAGCACGGAAAGGUCAUGUUUCCGUAGUAGAAUGUCUUCUCACUUCCGGACAUUCGUUGGAACGAAAGAAUAAUG